UGUGGGAGCGAGCCUGCUCGCGAUAGCGUCGGGUCAGCCGCAUCGUUGUUGACUGAUGCACCGCUAUCGCGAGCAGGCUCGCUCCCACA
rnacentral:misc_RNA from 1 species